GAUGAACGCUGGCGGCGUGCCUAAUACAUGCAAGUCGAGCGAACAGACGAGGAGCUUGCUCCUCUGACGUUAGCGGCGGACGGGUGAGUAACACGUGGAUAACCUACCUAUAAGACUGGGAUAACUUCGGGAAACCGGAGCUAAUACCGGAUAAUAUAUUGAACCGCAUGGUUCAAUAGUGAAAGACGGUUUUGCUGUCACUUAUAGAUGGAUCCGCGCCGCAUUAGCUAGUUGGUAAGGUAACGGCUUACCAAGGCAACGAUGCGUAGCCGACCUGAGAGUGUGAUCGGCCACACUGGAACUGAGACACGGUCCAGACUCCUACGGGAGGCAGCAGUAGGGAAUCUUCCGCGAUGGGCGAAAGCCUGACGGAGCAACGCCGCGUGAGUGAUGAAGGUCUUCGGAUCGUAAAACUCUGUUAUUAGGGAAGAACAAAUGUGUAAGUAACUAUGCACGUCUUGACGGUAGCUAAUCAGAAAGCCACGGCUAACUACGUG
rnacentral:rRNA from 1 species